UACGUAGGGUGCAAGCGUUGUCCGGAAUUAUUGGGCGUAAAGAGCUCGUAGGCGGUCUGUCGCGUCGGCUGUGAAAACCCGGAGCUCAACUCCGGGCCUGCAGUCGAUACGGGCAGACUUGGAGUUCGGCAGGGGGAGACUGGAAUUCCUGGUGUAGCGGUGAAAUGCGCAGAUAUCAAGGAGGAACACCGGUGGCGAAGGCGGGUCUCUGGGCCGAGACUGACGCUGAGGAGCGAAAGCGUGGGGAGCGAACAGG
rnacentral:rRNA from 1 species